GGAGUCUGGACCGUGUCUCAGUUCCAAUGUGACCGUUCAUCCUCUCAGACCGGUUACCGAUCGUCGGCUUGGUAGGCCGUUACCUUACCAACUACCUAAUCGGACGCAAACCCCUCUCAAAGCGAUAAAUCUUUAAUACAAUCACCAUGCGAUGACUGUACAACAUUCGGUAUUAGCAAAUCUUUCGACUUGUUGUCCCCAUCUUUGAGGCAGGUUAUUUGCGCUUUACUCACCCGUUCGCCACUAGGACCGAAAGUCCCCGUUCGACUUGC
rnacentral:rRNA from 1 species